AGUAACACGUGGGAAUCUGCCCGAGAGUGGGGAACAACUCCUCGAAAGAGGAGCUAAUACCGCAUACGGUCUCCUGGUGAAACGGGAAGACUAAAGCUUUUGUAAAAAGGCGCUCUUGGAGGAGCCUGCGGCUGAUUAGCUAGUUGGUGGGGUAAAGGCCUACCAAGGCGAUGAUCAGUAGCUGGUCUGAGAGGAUGAACAGCCACACUGGGACUGAGAUACGGCCCAG
rnacentral:rRNA from 1 species